AGAAUCAACGCUGGCGGCGUGCCUAACACAUGCAAGUCGAACGAGAAAGGGGUAGCAAUACCCUGAGUAAAGUGGCGCACGGGUGAGUAACACGUGACUAACCUACCCUUGAGUGGGGGAUAACUGAGGGAAACCUUAGCUAAUACCGCAUAAUACCCACGGGUCAAAGGAGCAAUUCGCUCGAGGAGGGGGUCGCGGCCGAUUAGUUAGUUGGCGGGGUAAUGGCCCACCAAGACGAUGAUCGGUAUCCGGCCUGAGAGGGCGCACGGACACACUGGAACUGAAACACGGUCCAGACUCCUACGGGAGGCAGCAGUGGGGAAUUUGCGCAAUGGGGGAAACCCUGACGCAGCAACGCCGCGUGGAGGAUGAAGUCCUUCGGGACGUAAACUCCUUUCGAUCGGGACGAUUAUGACGGUACCGGAAGAAGAAGCCCCGGCUAACUUCGUGCCAGCAGCCGC
rnacentral:rRNA from 1 species